CAGAGCACAAGUCAGAACUGGGGCUAGCAACAGUAGGUGGGCCAGGGUGUACAUGCACAUUUCCAGAUAUCAUCAACAGUAAUACAAUCAAGGCACGGUGUUGUACAGGGAGAGCUCUGCAGUGCUGAUUUGUGACAUCUGAAUGUGCAUCAGAUGGCAACAAGAUCAUAUUGUACAGCAAUUUCAUCAGGUAACAUGAUGAGACGGGCCAGGGUAGACGGUGAACAGAUCGCCAGUUGGAAUCCAAGCAGCAGUUCAGCAGGAAAUGGGAGUAGGUGUCACCCACUUGGGAGAAGCUUUUAUUUCUGGAGGCAGAUUUCUUUUUGAAAAUUCCAGUGGAUGGUCUUUGAACAGCAGGAUGGGGCAUCAAGGCCUCUGGAUCUGGUGGCCUGCUAUUUGUCUGGCUCAAAGGCUUCGACACCUGUCGCUUCACACGUCAGUGCUAAUUGUAGUUGUAUCUCUUUGUCCUAGCAAAGCUUGGUAGCCUGAGCAUUCAGUCCUUAUUAAGUAAAAUAUAUAAUUUUAAUGUAUUUUUCUUCUUGGCUUUUGAAAGUAAAAAAAUAGCUUCAGACUAAGCAUUAAUCACUCAGCUCCAGGUUGGAUGGGGUUUUCAGGUCUCUGCUUGUUUGCCAGAGCAUUUUGUUGUAUCGUUUGGGAGUAAUAAUCCUUGAGUGUAGGAAGCAUUCCAAGUAAUUCCAUCCAAAAUCAGGUUGUAGGUUUGGAGUUUUGAUUUGGAAUAAGGUUGUUGUUUAGGGUAGCAUCCUGUAUAUGUCCAUCCCCAAAAAAUCGAAUUUUGUCUAACUCUAAAUCUAUCUAUUUUUAAUUGGCCCGGUGUCGUCCAGGUUAGGGGAGGGUUUGGCCAGCUGGGACUUCCUUGUCCCAUCGUGCUCUAGCGACCCCUUGUGGUGGGCCGGGUGCCUGCAAGCUGACUACGGGCGCCAGCUGGAUGGUGUUUCCUCCGACGCAUUGGUGCAGCUUGCUUUCGGGUUAAGCGAGCAGUGUGUCAAGAAGCAAUGCGGCUUGGAAGGGUCGUGUUUCAGAGGAUGCAUGGCUCUCGACUUUCGAGUCCAUAGGGGGAGUUGCAGUGAUGGGACAAAACUGUAACUACCAAUUGGAUGUCACGGAAAAGGGGUAUGAGUAAAAAAAAAAAAACGUUUAAGGUCAUACCAAGAAUCAUUUAGCUAUUUGAUUUUGAAUUUUAAGACGACUUGAAGUAUAAAAAAAAGUAAAUAUUUGAACAUUUUUAUUUACUUCUAUCAGCCCAUACAAAAGCAUUGAAUGAGAUUCACUACAUGGAACAACUGUCCCCCCCAAAGAAAUCUUAAGGAACUUUGUUCUGAAGUGUCUGUCCUAUAUCUGACAUAUAUAAGAAAGAUUGUGGAAAUGCUAAUCAAUAAUGAGGAGAGACAAGGUCAGUCACCAAUCAGGAUGUUACUUCAUUCAAAACUUAUUAAGGCAGCCAGUGAGGCUGGUCGUCCCAAAACUCUUGAUUGUUGUGCCGAGCUGCUAUGACAUAGAAAGAAUACAAAUAUAUUUUAUAGCAGAGAUACACCCUCUUAGUCUACAUGAUAAACAGCAGAUGUGUGGAAUGGGUCAAAAAAUGAGACUUGAUAUAUGAGAAAGGAGUAUCCAACAGACAGAUAGCAUUUUCUGUGAAGACUGUUCUUAUUGUAUAGAAACCAGAGUUUGGCCCCCAAGACAAGGUUCCUCUCAUCAUUAUCCAUACCCGAGCCAUCUCUUCCUGGUACCUUACAUUACACGAACACCAACUCAUUCUAUGAAAUGCAUGUUGUAGGUUUUAUCAUCAACCCAUUAAAUCAGUUGUCAGCUCCAGAUACCCCUAUCUUGAGUAAAACCCAUGUUCUUGACCACACGCCUAGACUAGCUGCAGGGAGCUGGAGUAUGCACCCUGACAAAAACACAGCAUUAGUAGAACAGAAAUGUCUUACUAUAUGUUUAGUAUAUAUAAUUGUUAACAAUUAAUAUUAAACAAAGCAGGUAAACAUGUUAAUAUUCCUCUCACAAGAUCAGGAUUUUUUUUUUUUUUACAUGUAUUUAACCCCUUGUUUUUGGCACUAAACAGUAUCCAUAUAUACCUUUAAAGUUUUUCAACUGUUACCGGGGGACCUUCAGACGAGUUUUGAGGCCUGUGGACUUCCUAGGGCAAAACUGACAUGUACGUGUUCAUGAGAGUCUCACCUUUCCACAGAGGGGUCAUAUUAGUGUGUAGCCCAAACUGUUCGGACACUACAGACAGAAGUUGGCAGAUCAUAUGUACCAACUUCAGACGAGUGCCAAGACGCUUGUGGGGGUCGUCAAGCAUAUUCCAAUCCUUCAACCCAACUAGCACCCUUUGUAAAGCCCAUGUUUAGAUCAUAUUAGACAUAGUGCUUUAUGUCACAUUUGACAUUGGUGAUUGUCACACAGUUAUGCCACAUUUAUAAACCCUUUAUAAAACCUGACAUACGGUUAUAGAUGCUUUGUAAAACAUUUAUGUAGUGCUUAUGAAGGCAUUAUGAAGGCUUUAUGAAGCCUUUAUAAGCUGAACGGCAUUUAAAGCGGGACCCUUAUGGGCAAUAAAAGUGACUCCAAAUGACACAAUAUAUUAUUUACCAUUCAUUAUUUAUCAUUCAUCCAGGCAGUAUCACAUCCGGCUGUGAUUGGGAGCCUCAUAGUGCGGCGCACAAGUGGCCCAGCGUCGUCCGGGUUUGGCCGGGGUAGGCCGUCAUUGUAAAUAAGAAUUUGUUCUUAACUGAUUUGCUUAAUUAAAUAAUGGUUAAAUAUAUAUAUAUUUUUUUUAUAAUUAUAUUGGGCAUAACAACAAAAAAGUGAAAUGCGUCCAACAAGUGUUUAGAGACACAAUCUUGAUGUAGUCAUUGUGCAACAGUUGUUAAAGUACUUAAUAUUACAUGUUGAUUUGUUAUUAUGCAUGCCUGGAUCCUGGGAGUAGGGGAGUGUGCUUAGGUUUUGCCCUGCGUGCUCGUGCUCAAAUAAUUUUUAUGCACUAUGAGAGGUAGGCACGCUUUUUCUGUCAUCUUCAGAAAAGUUUGAUUCUUUUAAGCACAGUCAUACACACAGUGUUUUGUUCAUGAAUAAUAUUGCAUAUUUAGAGGUUACUCAUAAGUGGAUGGUAUUGUUAAGAUGCACUUGUAAUUGUACUUUUUAGGAUGAUAUUAACAUUCUGAAUUCAACAUGUGGUUAAUAGCUAGCUAAGGUAUUAGCAGGCUAUUGUAUGUGUGAACGAUGACUAGCUCCUCGAAUGAUCCCAGUCCCUUGUAUUGUGCAUCUGUUGUAGAAAGAGGCGACGAUUCGCAGAACAUACGUUCUCUAAACAUGUUUUAUUUUCUUUUGGAUGCAGGUAUGUGGUUUUACCUAUGUAAAAUAUAUGUUAUGUGUUGAUGCAUAAUCAGGAGAGGCUGUACUCAUUUUUGUAUUCUAAAAUCAUUUUGAUGCACUAUGAGAGAAAGAGGCGACGAUUCACAGAACAUAUGUGCUCUACAAAUGUUUUCUUUUCUUUUGGAUGCAGGAUGCAGAGAGUGAAUUCUGGUUCAUUAAAACAACCUGAUCUCCAAAGUCCACGUCUAUAGUCUCAAUCAACCACACACAACGCACAGUUACAGCGGUGCAGUACAGCACCGGUUACAUUGGUGCCUUCUAGACCCUGAUUCAUCGUUGAUCGACGACAGCUGCUCUAGAGACUCUGUUUACGUCUUUGAGGUUUCAAGUUGUGGACUGGAUGAAGGGACAGACCUGUUGAAUCUGUGGAAAGGCUGAUGGGGAAGUCAGACAGGAGUACGGAACACCCAGUGGCCGCCAGAGCCCAAUCAGCUUUGCUCAUUCCUGGGUGCUUUCUUCCGAGAACUGCCGUGAUAAGUUGGAAUGUCACAUGAAUCCUGAGUCUGAAGCAGUUGAUUGUUGAUGGCAAGGAGUCCAAAUGCUACUGUUAAGCCUGUCCUGCACUGUCUGCCUCCCAGUGAGGACCACCUACACAAUUCCACUGCCUGCCAAUUCCAACCUGAACCGCUCUGAAGGUCUGAGCAGCAUCUAUGAUUAGAGUUUGGACCUGAGGGAGAAGGCAGAAGCCCAUGUGGCCUGUUGCUGCUCUGAGCAGUGUGCUUAGAGCUCUGGUGAAGCAGAUACUAUGUAACCUUUCUAACAGAAAAUACAUAAUUUCACAUCACUGAGAUCUUGACCAUUCAAAUUGUAAUAAAUCCAACUGUGCAUUCAAAGAUGGUCUCUGAUACAUUAUAGCCCUCUAACAACAGCAAUCUAAUGGCAAUCACUUUUCAUGGUGAAUUGUAAAAGAAAUCA